AGUGAACGCUGGCGGUAGGCCUAACACGUGCAAGUCGAACGGCAGCACAGUAAGAGCUUGCUCUUACGGGUGGCGAGUGGCGGACGGGUGAGGAAUACAUCGGAAUCUACUUUUUCGUGGGGGAUAACGUAGGAAAACUUACGCUAAUACCGCAUACGACCUACGGGUGAAAGUAGGGGAUCUUCGGACCUUGCGCGAUUGAAUGAGCCGAUGUCGGAUUAGCUAGUUGGCGGGGUAAAGGCCCACCAAGGCGACGAUCCGUAGCUGGUCUGAGAGGAUGAUCAGCCACACUGGAACUGAGACACGGUCCAGACUCCUACGGGAGGCAGCAGUGGGGAAUAUUGGACAAUGGGCGCAAGCCUGAUCCAGCCAUACCGCGUGGGUGAAGAAGGCCUUCGGGUUGUAAAGCCCUUUUGUUGGGAAAGAAAAGCAGCAGGUUAAUACCCCGCUGUUCUGACGGUACCCAAAGAAUAAGCACCGGCUAACUUCGUG
rnacentral:rRNA from 1 species